rnacentral:rRNA from 1 species
CCUACGGGUGGCAGCAGUGAGGAAUAUUGGUCAAUGGACGAGAGUCUGAACCAGCCAAGUAGCGUGAAGGAUGACUGCCCUAUGGGUUGUAAACUUCUUUUAUAUGGGAAUAAAAUGUUCCACGUGUGGGAUUUCGUAUGUACCAUAUGAAUAAAGAUCGGCUAACUCCGUGCCAGCAGCCGCGGUAAUACGGAGGAUCAGAGCGUUACACGGUUUUAUUUGGUUUAAAGGGAGCGUAGGUGGGUUGUUAAGUCAGUUGUGAAAGUUUGCGGCUCAACCGUAAGAUUGCAGUUGAGACUGGCAGUCUUGAGUACAGUAGAGGUAGGCGGAAUUCGAGGUGUAGCGGUGAAAUGCUUAGAUAUCACGAAGAACUCCGAUUGCGAAGGCAGUUCACUGGACUGCAACUGACGCUGAGGCUCGAAAGUGUGGGUAUCAAACAGGAUUAGAUACCCUUGUAGUC